ACAUGCGAAGUACGAACGGGGAGUGCUGACGGAAGGGGUGGCUUGUCACUUUGGAAUAGAGUAGUCUUAGUGGCGGACGGGUGGAGUAACGCGUGGGUAACCUGCCCACUACCGGGGAUACACCUGGAACAGGUGCUAAUACCGCAUAAGCGCACGGAGCGCAUGCUCCUGUGUGAAAAACUCCGGUGGUAUGGAUGGACCCGCGUCUGAUUAGCCAGUUGGCAGGUAACGGCCUCCAAAGCGACGAUCAGUAGCCGGCCUGAGAGGGUGGACGGCCACAUUGGGACUGAGACACGGCCCAAACUCCUACGGGAGGCAGCAGUGGGGAAUAUUGCACAAUGGGGGAAACCCUGAUGCAGCGACGCCGCGUGAGUGAAGAAGUAUUUCGGUAUGUAAAACUCUAUCAGCAGGAACGAGACAAGACGGUACCUGACUAAGAAGCCCCGGCUAACUACGUG
rnacentral:rRNA from 1 species